rnacentral:rRNA from 1 species
GAAGCUGUGAACGGCUCAUUACACCAGUAGUUACACACAUGACGUCAUGCAAACGGAUAACCGUCGGAAACAAAGGCUAAGACGAGGACAGAUUCGACGAAUUCGAACCAUUUUUCCUGGAAAAUCAAGUCGAACGGGCUUUGCUCGUUGGGGGAAUCACAGGAAAUUCUUGAGUCGAAUAUUCGAUGCGUCAAAGUGGUUUCUGACCCAUCAGCCUUCGACGGUAGGGUAUUGGCCUACUGUGGCAAUGACGGGUAACGGGGAAUUAGGGUUUGAUUCCGGAGAGGGAGCCCGAGAAAUGGCUACCACGUCCAAGGAUGGCAGCAGGCGCGCAAAUUACCCAAUCCCAACCAGGGGAGGUAGUGACAGAAAAUAGCAGCACAAAGCGUUUUGCUUUCUGAUUGCAAUGGGGGUUUCUCAAAACACCGUUCGAGAAUCUAUCGGAGGGCAAGUCUGGUGCCAGCAGCCGCGGUAAUUCCAGCUCCAAUAGCGUAUAUUAAAGUUGCUGCAGUUAAAAUGCUCGUAGUUGAAGAGGCAUGAACUUCAGGAGAUCAAUCUUGAUCUUUUGUGCUUCCGUCAAGGCUUUCGAUAACCUUGUGUUACUGUGAGAAAAAUUGAGUGUUUCAGGCGAGCGUUUCGUUGAAAUAUAGGACCAUGGAAUAAUUUCGUGGCUCCAAACCAGCCAUAUGACUUGCUGGUUUGAGGUGCGUGGUUGACAGAAAUAGUUGAGGGCGUCCGUAUUGAACAGUCAGAGGUGAAAUUCUGAGAUUUGUUCAAGACGAACAACUGCGAAAGCUUUUGCCAAGGAUUUUUUCUUUAAUCAAGAACGAAAGUUAGGGGAUCGAAGACGAUUAGAUACCGUCGUAGUCUUAACCAUAAACCAUGCCCGACUAGGGAUCGGUGGAAUUCAAAUUUGGGAAUCCUUCAGUACCUUGAGAGAAAUCUAAGUUCUUGGGUUCCGGGGGGAGUAUGGUCGCAAGGCUGAAACUUAAAGGAAUUGACGGAAGGGCACCACCAGGAGUGGAGCCUGCGGCUUAAUUUGACUCAACACGGGGAAACUCACCAGGUCCAGACAUAGGAAUGAUUGACAGACUGAAAGCUCUUUCUCGAUACUAUGGGUGGUGGUGCAUGGCCGUUCUUAGUUGGUGGACUGAUUUGUCUGGUUGAUUCCGACAACGAACGAGACCUUCUCUUGCCUAGUAGGGCCAUUAUUCUUGCGAAUCUGGAUCCUUCUUAGCAGGACUUUGCGCGUUCCAGCGCAAUGAAGCGAAGACUAUAACAGGUCUGUGAUGCCCUUAGAUGUUCUGGGCUGCACGCGUGCUACAAUGAGACUCUCAAGAAGAUGCGAUUUCGACAGAUGUCGCAGAUCUCAGAAGCAGUUUCUUUACUGGGACAGUUGAUUGCAAUUUUUCGGCUCAAACGAGGAAUUCCUUGUAAUCGUGAUACAUCAUGUCGCGGUGAAUACGUCCCUGCCCUUUGUACACACCGCCC